rnacentral:rRNA from 1 species
UACGUAGGGGGCUAGCGUUGUCCGGAUUUAUUGGGCGUAAAGAGCGUGUAGGCGGCCAGGUAGGUCUGCUGUGAAAACUCGAGGCUCAACCUCGAGACGUCGGCGGAAACCAUCUGGCUAGAGUCCGGAAGAGGAGAGUGGAAUUCCUGGUGUAGCGGUGAAAUGCGCAGAUAUCAGGAAGAACACCCGUGGCGAAGGCGGCUCUCUGGGGACGGUACUGACGCUGAGACGCGAAGGCGUGGGGGAGCGAACAGG